UAUGGCAGAUUGGUUUUAGUGCAUGUGGGAGUUUGUUAGAUGUGUGCCCGAGAAGCCAAUCUUGACUGACACAUACUUUUCUCUAGGGCAUAUUUUAUACUUGUUGGGCAGUUUUUAUAACCAAUCAUGUCUUAUGUGUCCAUGAUUUAUUCUAAAAAUUAACAAAGAUGAUUUUGUAUAUUCUCAAGGUGUUGAGAAUUUGAGACAUACAUCAUUAGUGAUUAAUUUCUAAAUACUCCCGAUCGAAGGAUCAUCAUGGAUGACAGUGAUCAAUCCAUUCGAGAUCGAGAUAUAAAUCACCUUCUUUUUGAACAGAUGAGUCUCGAGUCUACAGUGUAGAGAUACUGGAGUGAGAGUGCAAGUGGUUGUUAGAGAACAACUUGUACUGAACGUGACCAACACAAGAAACCACUUGGAUGUCUACUCACUCGUCAGUGAUUUUCUCGAUGCUGCAGUGGUGUGACUGGUCCUUUGACCUAUGGUGUG
rnacentral:lncRNA from 1 species